UACGUAGGGGGCGAGCGUUGUCCGGAGUUACUGGGCGUAAAGGGCACGCAGGCGGUUUUACGCGUUUCGCGUGACAGCGGGCGGCUUACCUGCCCGAGUAUGCGAAAGACGGUAGGACUUGAGGGCCAGAGAGGGACACGGAAUUCCGGGUGGAGUGGUGAAAUGCGUAGAGAUCCGGAGGAACACCGAGGGCGAAGGCAGUGUCCUGGCUGGUGACUGACGCUGAGGUGCGAAAGCCAGGGGAGCGAACGGG
rnacentral:rRNA from 1 species